rnacentral:rRNA from 1 species
UACGUAGGGUGCGAGCGUUGUCCGGAAUUAUUGGGCGUAAAGGGCUCGUAGGCGGUUUGUCGCGUCGGGAGUGAAAACACUGGGCUUAACUCAGUGCUUGCUUCCGAUACGGGCAGACUAGAGGUAUGCAGGGGAGAACGGAAUUCCUGGUGUAGCGGUGAAAUGCGCAGAUAUCAGGAGGAACACCGAUGGCGAAGGCAGGUCUCUGGGCAUUAACUGACGCUGAGGAGCGAAAGCAUGGGGAGCGAACAGG